rnacentral:lncRNA from 1 species
GGUGUUAGUCAGCUCAAACUGAGACUGGAUUGACUAAGUCACAGGUGGAUCGAUCCAGGCCCAGUCUGGGUCAACUAUGCCUCAGAAAAAUAGAAAAGGAUAUCUCAAAAAACUGUGGCAUGGUAUGCAGGUUAGUCGACUCAGUCCGGCACUAAGUCGACUAAGUCCUAGGUUAGUCGACUCAGUCUGAGACUGAGCCGACUCAG